UUUUCAUGGAUGGGUGUUGUGAUGUCAUUUGUGGUGGUAUUGUUUAGCUGUGUGGAGAUUCUAGGCAAGGGGGUUUAGAAGGGGAAAAAGGAAAUAUACUAUAUCAAGCUUUGGCACGAAUGAGGUUUAUGCAUGAGAUGCUUCUAUUCUGUUGGGUUUGCUGAAGAAGAAAGAAACAAUGAUGCUCUUGUAUAUGUUAUUUAUCAGAUUUGUUACAUGUUUAUCACGGCAAGCAUGCAAGACCAAAUUAUGCAACAUUUUUGGAGGGACAUAUUGAUAGGGAUCAAGUUAAACACAUCCACUUUGGUAAGGAGAUGAAGCUGAAGUCCCAUGUAUUUCAAUAUUAGUUUAGAUCGGGUUUAAUAAGCUUUAGCUAUCUUACAGUGUUGGGUAGAUUCUCAUAAAAUGCUUAUCAAUUGCUUGUAAUGUUGAUUUAUAUUCAGCCACGUGGAAUAAAUAAUGUUUGAUUAGUUUAUCAACUUCUAUGAACCAUUUAAAACACAAGAUUUGAGCUCCUUUUGUAUA